rnacentral:rRNA from 1 species
AACGUAGGAGGCGAGCGUUAUCCGGAUUUACUGGGCGUAAAGCGCGUGCAGGCGGCGCGGUAAGUUGGAUGUGAAAGCUCCUGGCUCAACUGGGAGAGGUCGUUCAAUACUGCCGUGCUAGAGGGUGGGAGAGGGAGGUGGAAUUCCGGGUGUAGUGGUGAAAUGCGUAGAUAUCCGGAGGAACACCAGUGGCGAAGGCGGCCUCCUGGCCCAUUUCUGACGCUCAGACGCGAAAGCUAGGGUAGCAAACGGG